rnacentral:rRNA from 2 species
UACGGAGGGUGCAAGCAUUGAUCGGAAUUACUGGGCGUAAAGGGCGCGUAGGCGGCCUGAAAAGUCGGAUGUGAAAUUCCGGGGCUCAACCCCGGAGCUGCAUUUGAAACUUUCAGGCUAGAGGAUAGUAAGGGAAAACGGAAUUCCACGUGUAGCGGUGAAAUGCGUAGAUAUGUGGAAGAACACCAGUGGUGAAGACGGUUUUCUGUGCUAUAACUGACGCUGAGGCGCGAAAGCUAGGGGAGCAAACAGG